AAUAAAAGAGGUAGGCGUGGGAGAGUAUGACCUUGGGUUUUUAAAUUUUGACUUCUCUCUGAAAAUUUCAGUUGUGCCAUUGCACUUCCAUUGACCAUAAGUUCUUUGUUAAAAUUCCGAUUUGAGCCCACUAUGUGUCCACGAACUCGUGAGAGCGAGCUCUACACGAUGGUGCAACUUCCAAACGAAAAGUAACAAAAAUACCUUACUUCAAGGGAAAAAUAUAACUUCACAAAAUAAAAUAAUUAGUCGGAACAAAGUGUUACAAUCAAUGUGACGGCACUAUUAAUGUUAUGGUCAAAACCAAUCAUUGGUUCAUAAGUGAACCCUUUCCUUUCCAAAACACUCGGUGACCUCUUGUUCGGUGAUAUUGACUAUAUAGUUUUGGAACUAACUUUUUCCAAGUAUCUGCUUCCUUCAUCUAUAAGAUGAUCUCAGUCGCCAACUUUGAUCUUGUAUCUAUACUUAAGGACAUACGCUUGAAAGUUGCCAUGAUUCUUAUCCUGGGCGAUACAUAUAUGAUCUCUUAAUAUUCAGAGUAUUACAAACACCUGAGCUCAUAACACAAUACUUUACACAUGAAUCAGCCUUUCUCUAAGGUAUAUUUCAGGGCUAUAUUCAUGUAUUGCACCCUUUCAUGAGUUCUUUGGGCAUGCACUUUUCAGAAAAGUGUCCACCGGUUCCUACUCUUAGGGUGAUCCUUUUAGGGAUGGGUUGAGGGAUAAUCUGUAUUUAUUUUUAUAAAAAAAAUAAUUUGUAUGGAUAAAUAAUUAUUCUUAGAUGCAUACUUGUUCAGUUUAUCAAUUAACCAACAAAAUUUAUUUAUCAUUUUCAUUUAUUAUUAAAGAUAAUUCUAGGUUUUUUCUUUUCUUUUUUUCUUUUUUUAUCAAAGAAAGAUAACAAUUCUAGGUUUUUUCACAUUAGAAUUUUCUUUUUGUUUUAGUUAUUCUUUUAUAAACCAACAUUAGCAAAAAUACACUUGAAAAAUAGCUCAAUAUCAUUAUUCUCAAAUUGUACUAUUGGACACGUUUUCACUGUUUUUAUUUU
rnacentral:lncRNA from 1 species